GUCAGUAGGUCUUACGCAAGGUUACGCUCGAUCCCCGUGUAGUGAAAUCUGAUUGGAUCUUUACAGGGAAGCGUCCAAUUUGUAGAAAGAAAGCUAACAAACAAUAGCAGACCUGCUAACAAUAACUUCUCAAUGAAGUCAUGUGAUCACAUACGCAGGUACAGUAGGUGGCAGCAUGCACCAAUAACGUUGGUUUGUAGCCCGCCAGAAAACCGAGGAAGAAGAAGAAGAAAACCGAAGAAGAAGAAGAAAAAAACGAAGAAGAAGAAGAAAAAAGAAAAGAAAAAACAAACAAACAAAUGAAGAAAGAAAUGCUCAGUGUUUGCUUUGACUUCUCAUGACAACAAUAUUCAUAACCUGGAAUACUUUUAUAAGGAACCCUUUUGAUUUUUGUGACCUGUGGACUCUUACGGACUAAAGGAAUAUAAACAACGGAGGAAUGGACGGAGAAUCGGAGUUCAACACUUCUAAAAGAAGAGGUCAGAGCACGACGUGGACUCAGGCCUUGUAGGGAGAUCUCAGCGGCGUGGCUCCUCCUGAACACAGGUCACUGCUCCUGUACUGCCAACCUGCUGCAGACCAGCUACUCACAUCCAAAGAGACUGUCUGUCUUGGAGAUUGCUGAUCCUUUAUUACGUGGCGCCUGCAUUCCAGCAGCAGCAGCAGCAGUGCAGGUGUGGGACCUCUGAACGACCUCUGACCUGGUAGAUGCCCUCAACCAUCUGGAUCUCACUCAGGAUGCAGAGGCUGUUUCCCUCCAUUGUGAUUGUCCGCCCCGCCCUGAUGUGUGUCACCUGUGUCCAGUCGUCCCUGCCUCCGCUGUGAAUCUCAGUCCUCGUCAGUUGAUCUGUUUUGCUCCUGUGAACGAGGGUUGAAAGCAGAGCGAACAGAGCCGCAGAUACCAAGAAGUAAAGUAGAAACAAAAUUGUUUAUCUGGCACAAAAUCAAGGCGCAGUGGCAAAAAUGAUGGGGCGAAGAUCUAACAGGAAGACAUGUAUCAGAUCCAGCGGGAGGUUGAAGUGGAAGAGACUUUGGGGGAAAACAGGCGAGAGCAGAGCUUGAUAAAUAGAACAAGAUUAGGUCAUACCAAACUGAAUUCUUCAUUACAUCUCAUUGGAAAACAUCCAUCUGGAAACUGUGACAGCUGCAAUCAAAAAGAGUUUUUUUUGCCUGCCCAAAAUAUAGAAAUGAGAGGAACCUAUUAAAGACUAAGCUGGAACAAGAAGGGAUUAAACGUGUGAAUCUUCAAGCAGUUUUUACAUAUAGUUCUAGGAAUUGUACUUUUGAAACAUUUUUAUUUACCUAAAAGACACAGGAUUAACAACGAGUACUUUAGGACUCAGCAGUAGGUGGCGAUAAUGCGCCUCAUGGUUGCAAUUUGCCAUAAAAACGAAGAAGAAAAAGAAGAUGUUUUUCCCCGGGUUGUUUCCCUGAUGUCUCCUGUGUUUUGGACUUUGGAUUUAUUGCUGCCCCUGUCGGGACUUUGCCUCACACGUUCAAAGCAAUUGUGUUUUUCCUUGGUUCACUGUCAUGCUCCUUGAACUGAUCCAGCACACUGUCUAUGAGUCUGUGUUUUGGUCCAGUUAACCUGACAAGCGCAAUGUGAUGACGUGAUUAAAAAAAGCAUCAAUCAAACCUCGAACAAACAAAACAAUGUACUGCACUAAUGAUUUCUUCACUAAGACUGUUUCCAUUGUGUUUUAUUGGAUUUUACUCUAAUUGAUGCUCCCACUUUUCCGCCUCAGUCGAGCAUAACAACUCCUUUGCAAUAUUUUCUCAAUAUCUCUCCACAUAGUUUUGUGCACUGUCUGAAAAAUGUGCAUAAAGAUUCAUGGAAACACAAUGACUGAGAGCCAGA